rnacentral:lncRNA from 1 species
UUUUCAAUCAAAAUCCAAAAAAAAAUAAAAAAAAAUUAAUAAAAAAUGCCAGCGCCGAGCAUAACACAAAUGAAUGCUAAUACCUUGCAAAUAUUUACAUGAAAUUAACAAAUCAACAUUGCGCGUAAUAUUUCAAAAUAACAAGUACAACAAAAACACCUACAGCAAUUGCAAAGAGUGCCACAAAUUGCACAGAAAGCAAAAAGAAUCGCAACUUAUGAUAAACAUUAAUUAUUUUAUCGCGUUAUUAUCGCAUCAAAUAAAAAUAAAUUGCGCAUAAAAAAUUGACACAACAAAUAGAGUGUUUUCAAAUAAACAUUGCAAACAUGACAUGUAAAUAAAAACACUUUUUCGCCGCGCAUAUUUAUGACACUGGCGAAGCUUGCAACGCGGAUCAACUUGUUGGUAUUUGGUACGCUCAAUUGAUAUCAGUACCUCGUUGAAGAAGAUUUUCCUGCCUUCGUGCUCUAAGCUUUG